UGUAGCACUGUGAUGAAGCACUACGGAUGUAAAACAAGCUCAAAGCUGUUGUCCGAGAGCGCAUAUAUCCAUGUGGAUCUCUCCGUUGCCUUCCUUCUGAGACUUGAA
rnacentral:snoRNA from 1 species